AGUCCAUUCUCAUCUUGCAAAUAAAGACAUAACUGAGACUCUGUAAUUUAUAAAGGAAAGAGGCUUUAUUGACUCACAGUUCAGCAUGGCUGGGGAGGUCUCGGGAAACUUACAAUCAUGGUGGAAGGAGUAGCAAACAUGUCCUUCUUCACAUGGCAACAGCAAGAAGAAGUGCCAAGUAAAAGGGGAAAAAGUUCCUUAUAAAGACGUUAAAUCUUGUGAGAACUCACUCAUUAUCAUGAGAACAGCAUGCGGGUAACCACCCCAUGAUUAAAUCACCUCCUAAAGGCUUCCUCCCCCCACAUGUGGGGAUUAUGGGAACUACAAGUCAAGGUAAGAUUUGGGUGGGGAAGCAGCCAAAUCAUAUCAACCUGCUUCAUCUCCACUAUUUCCUACUUCUUUUGAUGGUACUAUGAUGGUAUACAAUUGACACCUGCACACUUGUGUUUUCUUUCUCCUUUUUCCUUCAGAUUCAUUGUUCAAUUCAUCAUUGAGUCUCUUUGUUUGUAUACCAAAUAUAUCCAGGUAUAAUAGGUUGCCGCCAUCUCCACUUCUAUCUCCCUCUCUUGCUUUAAUCGUGUGGUCUACUUCAACAGCCUCUGCAUCAAUCAGAACCUCACUCUGCUGCUUCACUCUGAUUUCCUAUCAGUAUCCUCAUUGGCUAGACUCAACAGGAAGUCACAGGGCAAGGGGGCCUCCUGAUUCAUACAGUCUUUGCCAGUCAGUAUUCCAAAGCACACGUGCAGUGGAGAAAGGUGCACACAGGACGAAAGACAGCACAUCUUCUGGCUGGUUUCCUCAUUCCAUUUUGCCUCACUGCAGUCGAUUCAUCAUUUUCAAGUCAUCCCCACAGAGAAAUAUUCCUUAUGUGCCUUUCACAGUUUCCAACGCUUAAGCUACUUAUUUUUACUCUUUGUCUUAUUAUGCAGUGUCAUUUUCUUCUGUCAUCGUCACAUGUAACUAUCCAAAAUAAUUGUAUAGAUGGAAGGAUUGAUGGAUGAAUCAGUAAUGGACAUUUUAAUGUCCUGUCUCUCUCCACAAAAAUGACUCUAAACUCCAUUGGACAGGGAUUUAGUAUGGUUUGUUCACUCCUGUAUCUGGAGUAUCUGAAACAAUAGUUCACCCAGUAAAUACUUGUUAAAUAAAUUAAUGAAGACAUAUUUGUAUUAUUUGAAAUAAUGCAGUUGAUAAUAAGGGGACAAGAUAUUUGAUAAAGUAAGUUAAAAAAGAAUACUUGUGAUUCGUCUUAGAAGAAAUGCUUCUUGUACUCACAGAAGACUGUCUCCAAUUGUUUUUGGAUACUAUAGAAACUGUUGUAUAAUAACAAUCACUAUUUGUAAUCUAGCCUUCCUUUUAUUUGUUCACAAUCAAGUACCACUUGUUCUGCCACUAUGACAGCU
rnacentral:lncRNA from 10 species